rnacentral:rRNA from 1 species
UACGUAGGGCGCAAGCGUUGUCCGGAAUUAUUGGGCGUAAAGAGCUCGUAGGCGGUUUGUCGCGUCUGUGGUGAAAGCUUGGGGCUUAACCCCAAGUCUGCGGUGGAUACGGGCAGACUAGAGGCAGGUAGGGGAGAACGGAAUUCCCGGUGUAGCGGUGAAAUGCGCAGAGAUCGGGAAGAACAUCAGUGGCGAAGGCGGCCUGCUGGGCUGUUGCUGACGCUGAGGCGCGACAGCGUGGGGAGCAAACAGG